GGUCACAUGGUGGAGGACAGAGCAGGGCCAGCCGAGCCAUUAGGCAGUGUAAGAUAGCAUCCCCGUGGCACCCCUCUGCUGCCUGCAUCAGUGCCAGUUUCAAGAAAGAGCUUGACAAAAUUGCAUAAGAUCUUGUGGAGUGUAUGAGAUCUCCCUGAAAUCAGCGAGAUCUCACACAAAAUCAUCAUCGCUUCUCUGCCGGCGGCAGCAGGACUGGCAGUGAAGGCAGCAGCAUACCAGGGGGGGCUGUCCCAGGAAAUAGAUGUCUUGGGCUUUAUCCAAGAUACAUGGAACGAUGGCUCUGUUCGUUGUUUCUUGCUAUUUUUUGUUAGAACAGGGCCUCUCUAUCUGUCCCCAAAGACCAUCACAUCCCUUCCUUGGCCACAACCCUCACCAGCCUGCUUUGCAUUCUCCUUGAGUGUUGUUGCCCGGCUGGAUUGUGACCUUGAACUCUAAUAAUGCCUCCUGGUAAAAUGUACAUGUGUAGCUCUGCCACUUCUGCCUCUGGUCCCAGCCACCGUUGGCUUGUGCCCCUCAAUAGGUUUUCUGGGAAUAGAUGGGGCCCAGUGCAGUCAAUGGACUAGGGCAGGCUUCCUCAAACUCGGCCCUCCAGAUGUUUUGAGACUACAAUUCCCAUCAUCUCUGACCACUGGUCCUGCUAGCUAGGGAUCAUGGGGGUUGUAGGCCAAAAACAUCUGGAGGGCUGAGUUUGAGGAAGCCUGGCCUAGGGAGACUAGGCUAGUUCCCUAAAUGUUCCUGGUAAAUUGGAGUAUUCAAGUAUUAAAGCCUGGCACCUUCUUCCCAAAGCCCGGGAAACUUCUGCUCAGCUUACGGGGAGAGGAACAAGGCUUACACACAUGAUGUCUCUCCCCGAUCGCCCUUGCAAGCUGGCGCCUCUGACCCUAACUGUUCCCCUACAAAAAAAAUCACCGCAUGCCACUGAUGUGGCCCUUGAGCUGAAAAGGUUCCCUUUCCCAUAAUGAGACCCUCAGAGGAGAGCAGGGGCAAUCUAACCCAAGGACCACUUCACACGGUACAUUUUUCCAUGGCUAUCUACAAAAGGUUUUAAACAGGCCCUCUACUUCUGUGUAUAUCCAGUUGAGCUACAUCUGACUGGUCAAAAUAAAUUCAGUUUUGCCAUUUACAGCAAAUGAUCUGUCUGAAGUCAGUGAGAUUAUUUUUUUUUACUGGUAUCACUGGAAAGCUUUCCCUUCACAGGCCUGUUCUGAGGACACUUUAAACCUCAGCCUACGGACAAGUAUGGAAUGGUUCCCUUCUGCUGUGAAGACCUGCCUGUAAAAAAAUAGCUUUGGAUGGUGAAAAAAUAUAAUGUAUUCAUUGGGAAGGUUGAAGAUGCUGCAAACGAUGAGCCAACUGCAUCCUGCAGAACAACAAAGGACAUAAAAAGGG